UGCUACUGUGUUGUUGACAAAGAUGGCGGGUACAGCAUAUCAUUUGGAAGCUCUUCGUCAACAAAGAGUUAUAGAUAGAAGGCAUGAAGCGAUGCAAAGGAUGGGCGGUCAGAGUAAUGCUGCAAUGAAACUCAGAGCAUUUGAGCAAGAAAGAAACAAUUUUGAACAGCGCAUGCAUGAUCAUUAUGCCAGCAGAAGAAACCUCGGAACUUACAAUUCUGGUUAUGUGUACCAACAAAACGGAGGCCCCAACCUUCACCCGGACAAGAUCUACCCUGUCAUGUACCCCUGGGACCAGUACAGACGCCAUCUUUCGGUGCAUCUCGACCCCAUUUAUACCAUCAUGUACCCGCGUCAUGAACACAGACACCAACACACAGCGCUCAACAUGGGCAUCCCACAUUAUCUGUUAGAGUGAACAAAAAACAAAGAACUCCCUGCAACAAAAUGUGCAAUGUUGAUGCUGUUCUAAUGAUGUGACAUGUGUUUGAUUGGCUUUGAUCUAUGUAUAGAUAUAUAAUAUAUAUAUAUAAUAUAUAAUAACCAAGCAUGACUGCAAUAUUGAACUGCUGUGACAUGUGCUGUGCUAUUACUACCAUGUUUUGAUUCCUGACAGUGUGACUGCUGCUUAUCAACAUAUGUACAUACAGGGCUAGAUGUUGUGACCCAACAGAACCAGAUCCCCAGUUAACCAGGAAAAAGAAAAGCAGAAUCUAUUAGAUCACAAACUUAUAAUUCACAAGUCAGCUUCGCAUGCACAUCGUCCUCCUCCUCAACCAACAUCCUAUGAAAGGGAACUUCUUGCCGAGAAAAAGAGGCGGCGAAGACCGAGAUCACUCUCAAGUGUGGGGCCGCCAGAGACUGAGUUUUAUUUCAAAUAUGAAUAGUGAACUCUUAAUUCAGUACACAUAGACUACUCACAAUGGGAAAACCAACCAAGACUUCACAGCCCUUUAUUUAUGAAUUUUUUACUAUCAGGACAAGGAAAUCUCAGACCCUGAGCUACAUGGCGAUGAAGUACAUGUAUCUUAUUUCUCAAAGAUGACUUUGUAAUAUUCUGAAGUGCCAAUUAUGUUUCCCUGUGUACACGUAGCUGUCAAGAAGUGUUUCAGUCGAGUUCAGUGAAGGAUGCUGAUACAUAAGUGCUCUACUGAAUCUUAUUGAACACGCAAUGAAGACGUCAAUACCUUGAACAGUCUGUGACACAAUAUUUUGGGGAUAUACUUUGUUUAUAAGAUGAAUCAUCAUGUGAAAUUUUAAUCUGAAAUUGCUCAAUAAUAUUGUAUUUAUCAUAUCAUUUAUUGCUAUUUUGAAAA